UAUUUCCCGAUUUCGGAGGAGUUAAUGGUUUGUUUUAGUUACUGUUGCAUCAGUAUUAAGUACAUAUUGUUGGUAGUGAAAUGUUAUUCGUCUUUGGUGGUUUCUGGUUUUUCAAGAAAUGAAUUCAAUUCAUGCGUCUUGUUUUAGUUUUUAUUUUUCUUUAUUUUCUAUUACUUGGCGUUAAGAUUAAGGGGGAUUAGCUCCUUAUUCUGUUUUUAUAACUCGUUGCUUUUGUGUUAGUCUUGUGGAUUUUAUGGUGAUUGUCGAUUUGAUUAUGUUAAAAUUUUAUUGGUUGUUUGUUUGAUUUUGUUCUGUUUAAUUAUUUAUUGGAAUGUUUUCUUUAUUUUUGGGUUGUGUGGUAAUUAUUGUGGAAUUAGUAUAUUGUGGUGUUAGGUUAUUUUAUUUGUUGUUAAUUCCUUUUGAGGAACUAGGCAAAUAUUUUGAUGUCCGCCUGUUUAUCAAAAACAUCUUUUCUCGUUAGUUUUUGAAGUAUGGCCUGCCCGCUGAAAUUUUUAGUUUGAAGGGCCGCGGUAUUUUGACCGUGCAAAGGUAGCAUAAUCAUUAGUUCUUUAAUUGUGAUCUGGAAUGAAUGGCUUGACGAGACAUCGGCUGUCUUAGGGGUUAGGAUAAUUUGUUGAAUUUGGUUUUUGAGUUAAAAUUCUUAGAUGUUUUUAUGGGACGAGAAGACCCUAUAGAGUUUUACAUGCCGGUCUGCUUUGGUUUAAGAAGGUGUUUGUUUUUGUUGGUUGGCAGGUUAGGCCGUGUUUUGUUGGGGUGAUGGGAGGAAUUUAUUUAACUCCUCUUUGUUUUGUUAUACUUAUUUGUAAGGUUUGAU
rnacentral:rRNA from 1 species